CUACGGGACGCACCAGUGAGGAAUAUUGCACAAUGGGGGGAACCCUGAUGCAGCAACGCCGCGUGGAGGAUGACGCAUUUCGGUGUGUAAACUCCUUUUAUAUGUCAAGAAAAUGACGGUAGCAUAUGAAUAAGCGCCGGCUAACUCCGUGCCAGCAGCCGCGGUAAUACGGAGGGCGCAAGCGUUACUCGGAAUCACUGGGCGUAAAGGACGCGUAGGCGGGUUGAAAAGUCAGGUGUGAAAGCCUACAGCUUAACUGUAGAACUGCACUUGAAACUCUCAAUCUAGAGUAUGGGAGGGGCAGAUGGAAUUAGUGGUGUAGGGGUAAAAUCCGUAGAUAUCACUAGGAAUACCUAAAGCGAAGGCGAUCUGCUGGAACAUUACUGACGCUAAGGCGUGAAAGCGUGGGGAGCAAACAGGAUUAGAUACCCUCGUAGUC
rnacentral:rRNA from 1 species